CCUACGGGAGGCAGCAGUGGGGAAUAUUGCGCAAUGGGCGAAAGCCUGACGCAGCAACGCCGCGUGAGGGAUGACGGUCUUCGGGUUGUAAACCUCUUUCAGUGAUGACGAAAAUGACGGUAAUCACAGAAGAAGCUCCGGCCAACUACGUGCCAGCAGCCGCGGUAACACGUAGGGAGCGAGCGUUGUCCGGAUUCAUUGGGCGUAAAGAGCUCGUAGGCGGUUUCGUAAGUCAGAUGUGAAAACUCAGGGCUCAACCCUGAGAUGCCAUCUGAUACUGCGAUGACUAGAGUCCGGUAGAGGAGCAUGGAAUUCCUGGUGUAGCGGUGGAAUGCGCAGAUAUCAGGAGGAACACCAACGGCGAAGGCAGUGCUCUGGGCCGGUACUGACGCUGAGGAGCGAAAGCAUGGGGAGCAAACAGGAUUAGAUACCCUGGUAGUCCAUGCCGUAAACGUUGGGCACUAGGUGUGGGACCUUCUAACGGGUUCCGUACCGUAGCUAACGCAUUAAGUGCCCCGCCUGG
rnacentral:rRNA from 1 species